CUAACAAAUUAACGUUGUAUUUUAUAUUAAUUAUAGCAGUGCCAUAUAUGUCAAAGGUAUUAUUUAUUACUAUUUUUUAUUGCCCCGUAAUUGUAAUCUGCCAUAAUCUUAUCCAACAUUAACACAUACUUUUUUUUCAAAAGGCUGCCAAGAAACUUGAUCUGCAUUAAUUCAUUAAAUAUAAAUGUAUGUGAGAAUUGAUAUAUAUCUAUAGGAAUUAGACUAAAUGUAUGUGAGAAUUGAUAUAUUUCUAUAGGUAUUAGACUAAAUGACAGCAAAAGUAUGUACAGCACCCCCUAAAAAUAAUCAAAAUCCUUCAGAUGCAUCUAUGCUUUUUUUAACUUUGUAUACACAGCAUUAGAUGUCUAGAGAUUUACUAUUGGUUGUCCAGUGCUAAAUGGAAAUAACUAUAUAUAUCAUAUAUAUUUAAAGUUCUGGAUAACAACCUAGAGUAGAGUUAUUUUUUAAGUGUGAUUAGUAGUAAAAGGGGAAUUAGCAUACACUGCAAGACAUUAACUAUUUUUCACAUCAGAAUUACUCAUUUCAUUACUGCCAAAUAUUGAAUAUUGAAUAUUUCACAUUUUUAAGUAGUUGAAUAAUAGUUUAAAGUUCAUUAACCUUUAUCUUUUGUAAUCUUAUUUUUGAUGUUCCAUUGCCACUUUGUUGUUGUUUCUGUCAGAUACACUACAAAUUACUUAAUGAGUAUCUUUUUUCAUAUUUAUGAGAGUCUGGAUUUGUGUAUCCUUAACUUUCAGCCAUAUUUUUCUAUUCUUUAUUUGCUGGUUAUUCUCUGUUUCAUAUAUUUUAGCACACCAUUUUUCUCUGUUCUUUAUUUAUUUAAUAAUAUUAUUAGAUAUAUACCUGCUACAAAGGUCAAGCAAUUAGGCAAUCCAGUAGUUCAUGUUUAUUUCAUGGGGUACCUGUUGUGGGUAAAGAAAAUUUAAAUGAUUAUUGAAAUAUCUGCAUAUAUAUAGUCUUCAAUGCAUACUUUGGAAAAUCAAAUAUCCAUGAAUUUGAAAACAUUUCCUUAGUCAACAAACAUGACUAAAUCAAGUGAAUCCAUAGUAUCCCUUUUAACAUAAAGGAUCCCUGUCUGAAAUCCACAGAUUACAAAUACCUCCCAUAUAAGUAUGUCCAUCCACUUUCUGGUCAGUAUAAAUGAUGUAGCUUAGACCUAUUUAUGUUUCAGUGAUACUCUGCACAUAAUACACAUACCUCCUGUAAAACUGCAUCCGUAUCAUUUCUGUACACGUGAUAUGACAUAACAUAUUUAUAGAUGUUAAUUUAUACUUGUUACACAUGAAUAAAUAAAAUGACAAAACUAAU
rnacentral:lncRNA from 1 species